rnacentral:rRNA from 1 species
UACGUAGGGAGCAAGCGUUGUCCGGAAUCAUUGGGCGUAAAGCGCGUGUAGGCGGUUACAUAAGUCUGUUGUGAAAGUCGGAGGCUCAACCUUCGAAAGCCGAUGGAUACUGUGUGACUUGAGUACGGAAGAGGAGAGUGGAAUUCCUGGUGUAGCGGUGAAAUGCGCAGAUAUCAGGAGGAACACCAACGGCGAAGGCAGCUCUCUGGGACGUUACUGACGCUGAGAAGCGAAAGCGUGGGGAGCGAACAGG